AACCCAUCAAGCCUGGCUUGGUAUUGGCGUCGGGGCCUCCCCGCGCUUCAAUUUCACCGGCUGGCCGUCGCCUGUCUUAGCGUUGUGACACACUUCUCGCUUCUGACGGGACCGGACCACGCCGUCACAACUCACGAGUUUCGGUCGAAAUUCAUCAAAAGGUUGACCUCGGAUCGGGUAGGAAUACCCGCUGAACUUAA
rnacentral:misc_RNA from 1 species